CUGCCUUAGGUCCUCCCGGGGGGUCCCUUUUAUACCGCAGGUCAGCUAGUCUCCAAGUAGGACUCGGAGACAUCAGACUCGGUACAAUACAAUGACGACCCAGUUCUAUCCGAGUAGGACUCUUUCCAUCUGUAGACUCCAUGAUGGACUUCCUUAACUUAUGCUGAGAACGUUCGUAUACGCGCAAGCAUACCAUAUCGAUAUGUGACGUAUAUCGAAGGGUAGAGGGUAUACCUUACCCCCGUAACCCUGACAGUAGCCCCCGACUUUUGCUUAAAUGAACUCGUGAGACCGAUCGCGACUUCUGAUGUUGUCGUCGUUCUCGAUGUGAAGACCGAGGGAGAAGGAGUGAUCGACAAUGUCGGGUGAAGCUCAACGGUCAUGAGUGAAUUUAAACUGAAGUCCGAAAAACUGUCGCGCGUAACGGACCCCAAAAUUUCCGGCGGCCAUCUCUCUCCUUUCCUUGGAAUUCGCACUGUCGGAAGUAUGUCUAUUUAAGGGAGUUUUGGGGAUCCCAUUUGAAGUCUGCCUGUUGAAAACUUUCUCUAGCUUCCAAGCGUCCCUCGUCUUCUUCGCUCCCGCAAAAAACCCUAGCUAGCUCAUCUCUAUCCUUUCUCCAGCGAUCCCCGGCGGUGAUGGAUCUCGACAAGUCAACCCCCACCAGUGCGUCACUAAAGGAACUGCAGGAGGAUGGCGCCCUUCCCGGUCACGGGACCGCGGAGAGAGAAGUAGGAGGUACUGAACCCCAGCCUGUCCUGGGUCGCAUAGUUGCGAUCGAGGACUUUAUUCUCUGUGGUUUUCUUCCUCCGCCUUCUGAAUUUCUUCUCUUGGUCUUUAAUUUCUAUGGUCUUUCCUUGCUCCAUUUGAACCCCAAUUCCAUCGCCUUCCUGAGUAUCUUUUCGCAUCUUUGUGAGGCCUACAUUAGGGUAGAGCCGUUUCUUGACCUUUUCCGCUUUUACUAUGAGUUGCGCUGGAUGGAACCCAAAAAGGUGUCCGGGUGUGUUGGUUUCUGACUUCGGGAUGGCCUGAAGUCGCGAUACAUCCCCUUCCAGUGCCCCUCAUCUCGCAGCAAAUGGCGGGGGAGGUGGUUCUAUCUUCAGAUAGAGGAUUCGGAUCCAGUCUUUGUUGUUCCUGAGGAGCAACAAGACAAGAUUCCAUCCUGGACCACCAAACCCGCCUUGACCCCAUCCCUCCAAUCUUUCAUUGAUAUCAUUGAUGACCUCCGAGAACGGGGGUUGUCGGGGUAUGAAGUCGCUGCUGACUUCAUUGGUAGGCGGAUCCAGCAGCUUCAGGCUCGAGCCCAUCCAGCCUUUGAUUAUUCUGGGCCGGAGGACGCAACCCGGGUUUCUCCUCGGGGCUUGGACAUCGCAACCGUGGAGCGCCGCGUUGGCCAACUGAUAAUCAGUGGCUCGACAACAGCGAGCAACGUCCCCGUCCCCCUUUGCGAGAAAGGGGCAGCCGAGCGCGAUGCUGCCAUCAAUGCUCUCCCUCUGAC